CGGUUUAGUACCGUCCGUCGGGUACCUACGGAACGGGAACGAACCGGCGUGGGGCCGGCGGUAGGUAGUUAGGCAUCGACAAGUACGGAACGGUAUCGGUACGUUCGGGUUCAGAGAGUGGCGAACGGGUGAGUAACACGUAGGUGAUCUACCCUCAAGACGGGGACAACCCAGGGAAACUUGGGCUAAUACCGGAUGUGAGCUAUCGCGAGAUAGUUUGAAAGGUGGCUUCGGCUGCCGCUUGAGGAUGAGCCUGCGUCCUAUUAGCUAGUUGGUGAGGUAACGGCUCACCGAGGCGAUGAUAGGUAGGCGGCCUUAACGGGUGGUCGCCCACACUGGGAUUGAGAUACGGCCCAGACUCCUACGGGAGGCAGCAGUCGAGAAUAGUCUACAAUGGUCGAAAGACUGAUAGUGCGACGCCGCGUGAACGAAGAAGCCCUUCGGGGUGUAAAGUUCUUUUAUAUGUGAGCAGUGACGCCCAUAUUAAUAGUAUGGGUGUAGAGAUAUUAGCAUAUGAAUAAGCAACGGCUAACUCCGUG
rnacentral:rRNA from 1 species